rnacentral:rRNA from 1 species
CCCUUAGAUGUUCUGGGCUUCACGCGCGCUACACUGAAGCUAUCAACACGUUUUCCCUCCCUGAGAAGGGCGGGUAACCUUUUGAAUCAGCUUCGUGGUAGGGAUCGGGGCUUGCAAUUGUUCCCCGUGAACCAGGAAUUCCUAGUAGACGCGAGUCAUAAGCUCGCAUCGAUUAAGUCCCUGCCCUUUGUACACACCGCCCGUCGCUACUACCGAUUGAACGUUUUAGUGAGGCAUUUGGACCGACGCAUCUCAGUUUAACCGCUGGUUUGUGUUGGAAAGACUUCCAAACUUGAGCGUUUAGAGGAAGUAAAAGUCGUAACA